AGAGUUUGAUCCUGGCUCAGGACGAACGCUGGCGGCGUGCCUAAUGCAUGCAAGUCGAACGCAUUCUUCGGAAUGAGUGGCGCACGGCUGAGGAACACGUGACUAACCUACCCCGGUGUGGGGGAUAACGGGUCGAAAGACUCGCUAAUCCCGCAUACGAUUCACUUCGGUGAAGGAAAGCAGUAAUGCGCACUGGGCGGGGGUCGCGUCCCAUUAGGUUGUUGGUGUGGUAAUGGCGCACCAAGCCCGUGAUGGGUCUCUGGUCUGAGAGGACGACCAGACAGAUUGGGACUGAGACACGGCCCAAACUCCUACGGGGGGCAGCAGCAAGGAAUUUUCGGCAAUGGGCGCAAGCCUGACCGAGCAACGCCGCGUGGAGGAUGACGGCUCUUGGGUUGUAAACUCCUUUUGGGGGGGACGAUACUGACGGUACCCUCCGAAUCAGGCCCGGCUAACUACGUG
rnacentral:rRNA from 1 species